AAUUGGAGGGCAAGUCUGGUGCCAGCAGCCGCGGUAAUUCCAGCUCCAAUAGCGUAUAUUAAAGUUGUUGCAGUUAAAAAGCUCGUAGUUGAAUUUCGGGAUCAAUAUUUCGGUCAUGCCGUUGGUAUGCACUGUUAUCAUUGAUUUCUCACCUUCUAAAGAACCGUAAUGCCAUUAAUUUGGUGUUACGGGGAAUUAGGACUGUUACCUUGAAAAAACUAGAGUGUUUAAAGCAGGCUCACGCUUGAAUACAUUAGCAUGGAAUAAUGAAAUAGGACAUCCGAUUCUAUUUUGUUGGUUUCUAGGAUCGAUGUAAUGAUUAAUAGGGAUAGUUGGGGGCAUUAGUAUUCAAUUGUCAGAGGUGAAAUUCUUGGAUUUAUUGAAGACUAACUACUGCGAAAGCAUUUGCCAAGGAUGUUUUCAUUAAUCAAGAACGAAAGUUAGGGGAUCGAAGACGAUCAGAUACCGUCGUAGUCUUAACCAUAAACUAUGCCGACUAGGGAUCGGAUGAUGUUAAUUUUUUAAUGACUCAUUCGGCGCCUUACGGGAAACCAAAGUGU
rnacentral:rRNA from 1 species